CCUCGUCUUUCUUCAGCUCCAAUGUUUUAUUUGCCUCCUAAUUGCCGUAUUAAGCCGUUCUUCGGUUUCUCUUCGGCCCUCUCAAAAGCCUCGUUUCAAAGGCCUAAUGAAAAUAAACUGGAGGGCCCCUGACGCUUUAUUUUGAAAGAGAACACAGCAGCGGUGGGUUCAGGGCGAGGUGGAAAAACAGGGGGCAUCUGGAACAAAGACCAGAAGAGUGCGAGGUCAAACAGCCCGCUGUCCGCAACAUCUCUGGCAGACGCAGCAUGGGAGGAGAACGAUGACGCUUAUAUAAUCGCCGGUCCGUUUUCGUGUAGGAUAGAAUAUAUCACACGGUCUGACAGAGCAAACAAUAGAUCACGCUUUUGUCUCCGCCAAAGUGGGCUCUAUUCAGCAGAUCAUGCAUCUGGACUACAGGAGAUUAAGCCUCGGGUUGCGGGCCAGCUUUCACGGUGUGACCUUUGACCCCUGGCUCAGGACGCCUGCACCAACACUGCCUCAAUCAUGAACAGGGGAGUUACAGGUACGCUUGUGCCGUGUGAUUCUUCCGCCCUCCACCUGUAUGGACUUUGCUCCUAAUCCUCUCUGAUCCUCUCUCUCUUUGAAUACUUGGACUACUGAGUGUAACUAAUUCUCCCACACAAGGAUAUUGUCUCUCCUCCUUUCGCCUUUGUCUUCUUCUUCAUGGUCUCUUAUUCAGGAGCUGCGUUCGUUAGCCGAACAGCCGGACCAGGAGAAAGCCUUCUAAUCUAAAGGACUUAAUGAGCUGUUUCCAUCACCUUUAAUCUGAUUGUUUUCUUUGAUUACAAAAAGACAGAACAGAUAAACAGCCACGCUGAUAAAUACCCAACCCCACCCCCCUCUCACUCUCUCUCUGUUCGGCUGUUAUUUUCCUGAGAAUGUAAUUAUUUCAUUCACAAAGAAGACAUCUCACACAGGUUUGUCCAACAGAUCGCUUUGUAAAAACACAACAGGACGACGCAAACUCUGGCCACGAUGCCACACAGGAGUCAUUUGUGACACGCUGACACGCUGAGAAACAAACUGCUUUUGCAAUUAAGAGCGCAAUCGCAGUGAUUGGGAGUUUAUGAUUGCAGCAAAUGUUAAAGCCAUUGGCCUACCGCAGUACGCAAGCAGCACAUGGGACCGAGGAAAGUUACAGACGUCAAUUCCAUGGAGACGGCCCGGACCCUGGAGGGGCUUUUUUCAGACAGCCAUUUGGUGCCCUUCAACCCCCACGGUCUCUAACCUUUUGACUCCUGCUCCUUGAGGUCAGCGAUGCUUGGGGAGCCGAGAUCCAGCAGCACGGCCUGUAAAUCAGGGCGCUCACGGGAACGCCGCUGCGGGCAGGAUCCCAGCCCUGGUAGCAUCACUCUGCCCCACUGACACACCAGUUCCCAGCCUGGGUUCCCAUCCACACGGCUUUAAUUCAUUUAUGGAAACCUCCAGUCCGAGACUUACUGCCACACAGAAACUGAAACCUAGACCACAAUCACACACAAGUCACUUCUUCUAACGAAAACGCAGGCUAGAGCCAUAACAGUGCAGAACCCAUAAGGAAGAGAACAUUUUUAAUUAUUCUCAAAGAACCUUUAGAGAGUGUAGCAAGUACCAGUGCAGUUCUAGGUCAGGUUCUAGAUCCUACACAUAAAUAACAAUCAUUUGGAGUUUGUACUACACACACACACACACACACACACACACACACACACACACACACACACACACACACAG